rnacentral:rRNA from 1 species
AGCGAACGCUGGCGGCAGGCCUAACACAUGCAAGUCGAACGAACUCUUCGGAGUUAGUGGCGGACGGGUGAGUAACACGUGGGAAAGUGCCUUUAGGUUCGGAAUGACUCAGGGAAACUUGUGCUAAUACCGAAUGUGCCCUUCGGGGGAAAGAUUUAUCGCCUUUAGAGCGGCCCGCGUCUGAUUAGCUAGUUGGGGAGGUAAAGGCUCACCAAGGCCACGAUCAGUAGCUGGUCUGAGAGGAUGAUCAGCCACAUUGGGACUGAGACACGGCCCAACCUCAUACGGGAGGCAGCAGUGGUGAAUCUUGCGCAAUGGGCGAAAGCCUGACGCAGCCAUGCCGCGUGAAUGAUGAAGGUCUUAGGAUUGUAAAAUUCUUUCACCGUGGACGCUAAUGACGGUACCCUGAGAAGAAGCCCCGGCUAACUUCGUG